rnacentral:rRNA from 1 species
GACGAACGCUGGCGGCGUGCUUAACACAUGCAAGUCGUACGGUAAGGCCCUUUCGGGGGUACACGAGUGGCGAACGGGUGAGUAACACGUGAGUAACCUGCCCACAACUUUGGGAUAACGCUAGGAAACUGGUGCUAAUACUGGAUAUGUGCUCCUGCUGCAUGGUGGGGGUUGGAAAGCUCCGGCGGUUGUGGAUGGACUCGCGGCCUAUCUGCUUGUUGGUGGGGUAGUGGCCUACCAAGGCAGCGGCGGGUAGCCGGCCUGAGAGGGUGACCGGCCACAUUGGGACUGAGAGACGGCCCAGACACCUACGGGAGGCAGCAGGGGGGAAUAUUGCACAAUGGGCGCAAGCCUGAUGCAGCAACGCCGCGUGCGGGAUGACGGCCUUCGGGUUGUAAACCGCUUUCAGCAGGGACGAAGCUUUUUGUGACGGUACCUGCAGAAGAAGCACCGGCUAACUACGUG